UACGUAGGGGGCAAGCGUUGUCCGGAAUCAUUGGGCGUAAAGCGCGCGUAGGCGGCCCGAUAAGUCUGCUGUCAAAGUCAACGGCUCAACCGUUGAAAGCCGGUGGAUACUGUCGGGCUAGAGUUCGGAAGAGGCAAGUGGAAUUCCUGGUGUAGCGGUGGAAUGCGCAGAUAUCAGGAGGAACACCUAUAGCGAAGGCAGCGUGCUGGGACGAUACUGACGCUAAGGCGCGAAAGCGUGGGGAGCGAACAGG
rnacentral:rRNA from 1 species